GCAGGGGGAUAUUGUUCGUCUUGGGCCCAUUUGAGCCUUCUUUUCUUCUAGCCCAAUUUUGGGCUUAUGCUGGUCACGUGCCCAACUAAAGGGGGCAGCCGCUGGAUUGGGUUUUACCCCUUGAUUUCUCAUGCAGCAGAGAAGGGGCUGAGGCUUCAAAAAAGAAAAAAAAUAGAAGGAAGAAGAGGGAGGAAGAAGCUGUUGGUCUCCCCUUUCUCUUGUGCUCUACCAUAGUUCCGGAGAUUAGGAUUACUCUUUGUGCUCUUCCAAGUGGGUAUCCUUUGGAAGGCCUUGAUGUGGUGAGGAACUAGAAUUUUUCAUUCUAGUUAGUUUAAUAGUUAAAGAGAUGGAAGUUUAGAUUCUUCGGAUGAACUCAUGGACACGAUAUUCAGCAUGAAUGUAAUGUCUGGAUGUAAGAGGCCAAAUCCUACGCGAUGAACGACGAGCACGUUCGGCGUAAGACAUAUUAAAGAUAAAUCUGAAGCUCAAAUUAAGCAUGUGGACGAGUGCGCCAAGAUGGGAGGUGUUUAAUAAAACCAUAUCUCGCUUGAUUCAGUUACGAGAAUUAUCAUAUCCUGUAAGAUCAUUAACUUGCAUAAUUGGGAGGAUUGGCAUUUGGAAAAAGAAAUAAAUUAUCAUUGUCAGGUA